rnacentral:snRNA from 1 species
AUACUUACCUGGCAGGGGAGAUACCAUGAUCAUGAAGGUGGUUCACCCAAGGUGAGGCUCAGCCAUUGCACUGAGGCUGUUGCUGACCUUUACGAAUUCCCCAAAUGUGGGAAUCUCGACUGCAUAAUUUCUGAUAGUGGGGACUGCGUCCGCGCUCUCCCCUG